rnacentral:lncRNA from 10 species
UUUCAUAUAUCAUGUGAGAGGUGGCUUCCUGCCAAUUUCCAAGAAUCCAAACAACCCGCUGACAUCAUAUGCUAAAUAUAGCUCAGGCUUUGCUUUAGGUGAACAAAUAAUGCCGCUGGACAGGAAUAGGUUCUCUUCAGUUACAUGGUUAUUAUGAUCGGCUGUCAGGCUUGUGUAAUCAAAAGAAUCAUGUCCAGUUCCAAGGAGGAAUGGUGCAAAGAACUCAUCAAACAAUUUCGGGAGAUGACUGAUGAACCCCCAUUCCUCCUGCCUUCCCAGGUGGCCGGCUGAGCCUGGCUGCUGGAGGAAAGAUGGUCAGCCUCGAGUACCUCCCUUUACCAUUGAACAGUGACCCCUCAUCCUCCAACCACAAUCCAUGGCCGCUGGAAUCAGACAAACCCAGCUGAAACCACAGCUCUCUUUCUGAGUGCCUCUCUCUGAGGGAGUUUCUUAACCUUUCUGAGUUUUCCUCAGCUGUGAGAUGGGAAUCCUAUUUUACAAUUGAAGUCCCGUCUAGAGAAGGAGAAAGCCUACACAGUUGAUCCUUGAACAACACAAGUUUGAACUGCACGGUCCACUUAUGCAUGGAUUUUCUUUUGCCUCUGCCACCCCUGAGAUGGCAAGACCAAUCCCUCCUCUUCCUCCUCCUCCUCAGCCUACUUGACAUGAAGACAUCAAGAAUGAAGACCUUUAAGAUGAUCCGCUUCCAUGUCAUGAUGAGCAAAUAUAUUUUCUCUUCUUUAUGAUUUUCUUUUCUCUAACUCACUUUCUCGUGAGAAUAGUGUCUAAUACCUAGAACAUACAAAAUGUAUGUUAAUCAACUGAUUAUGUUAUCAGCAAGGCUUCUGGUCAACAUAGACUAUCAGUAGUUAAGUUCUGAGAGAGGCAAAAGUUAUAUGUGGAUUUUCCGCUGUUAAGGGGUUGGCGCCCCAACCCCCAUGUUGUUCAAGGGUCACCUGCUCUUCCAGGAGUAAGAGCAGUGAUGGAUUUAUGCACAGAGUGGCAGGAGACCCUGGAGAAGAAGCCCUAGCUCAGCGGGGAGACCAAGGAGGACAAUGUGGAAGGGGCAGUCCUGAGUAGACCCUUAAAUCCCUGGGAAAUGGCAGGCUGUGUGCAGGCGUGAUCAGACCUUCAACAGCACCUAAAGUUACAAGGCCCAGUCUCAGAAUCCCCUGGGGAUAUUCAAUCAGCAUCUUGAUGAUUGACAAGAUGAGCUUCAGCCUGUGCCUUUAACACUGCAGGGGCUGAGCCCCUCUAGCAGCAUCUCCAACACCACCAGUGGACCAGCAGCCCUGGGGCCUGCCUGGCUUCUGCAGCUCAAGGCGCAAUGGGAAACCACAGAUGUCACAAAAAUUGGCUCCCUUCCGCCGGGCGCGAUGCCUCACACCUGUAAUCCCAG